GAAGGAGAAAAAAAAAACUUAUUUGUUGAUUGACCACUGGUUAUUUGAAGAGAAAACUAGUGAAUUAGGCAGUUGUAUGAUUCAGUUUGUUAAUUUUCAAGUUCAUCUUAUGUGCACAAUUGAUUUCAGGCUUUAUUAUAAACUUGUAUUCAUUUACGAACAAUCCAUCAUUGGAUGCAGAUAAAACGAGAAAUUGAGGAGU
rnacentral:misc_RNA from 1 species